rnacentral:rRNA from 1 species
AGCAGCCGCGGUAAUUCCAGCUCCAAUAGCGUAUAUUAAAGUUGUUGCAGUUAAAAAGCUCGUAGUUGAAUUUCGGAAUUUGUCAGUUGGUCGGGCUUAAUUGUCCGUAUUGACUCGAUGGAUUCUUACCUUCUGAAUAACCAGCAUGCUAUUAAUUUAGUGCGUUGGGGAAGCAGAUCUAUUACCUUGAAAAAAUUGAGUGCUUAAAGCGAGCUAGUGCUUGAAUAGAUUAGCAUGGAAUAAUAAAAUAGGACGGCAUGGUUCUAUUUUGUGGUUUCUAGGAUCACCGUAAUGAUUAAUAGGGAUAGUUGGGGGCAUUAGUAUUCAAUUGUCAGAGGUGAAAUUCUUGGAUUUAUUGAAGACUAACUUCUGCGAAAGCAUUUGCCAAGGAUGUUUUCAUUAAUCAAGAACGAAAGUUAGGGAUCGAAGACGAUCAGAUACCGUCGUAGUCUUAACCAUAAACUAUGCCGACUAGGAAUCGGACGAUGUUAAUUUUUUAAUGACUUCGUUCGGUACCG